rnacentral:rRNA from 1 species
GAUGAACGCUGGCGGCGUGCCUAAUACAUGCAAGUCGAGCGAACGGACGAGAAGCUUGCUUUUCUGAUGUUAGCGGCGGACGGGUGAGUAACACGUAGAUAACCUACCUAUAAGACUGGGAUAACUUCGGGAAACCGGAGCUAAUACCGGCUAAUAUUUUGAACCGCAUGGUUCAAAAGUGAAAGACGGUCUUGCUGUCACUUAUAGAUGGAUCCGCGCUGCAUUAGCUAGUUGGUAAGGUAACGGCUUACCAAGGCAACGAUGCAUAGCCGACCUGAGAGGGUGAUCGGCCACACUGGAACUGAGACACGGUCCAGACUCCUACGGGAGGCAGCAGUAGGGAAUCUUCCACAAUGGGCGAAAGCCUGACGGAGCAACGCCGCGUGAGUGAUGAAGGUCUUCGGAUCGUAAAACUCUGUUAUUAGGGAAGAACAUAUGUGUAAGUAACUGUGCACAUCUUGACGGUACCUAAUCAGAAAGCCACGGCUAACUACGUG